rnacentral:rRNA from 1 species
UACGUAGGGGGCGAGCGUUGUCCGGAUUCAUUGGGCGUAAAGCGCGCGUAGGCGGCUCGACAAGUCGGCCGUGAAAUCUCCAGGCUCAACUUGGAGGGGUCGGGCGAGACUGUCGGGCUCGAGGUGGGCAGAGGGCAGUGGAAUUCCGGGUGCAGUGGUGGAAUGCGUAGAGAUCCGGAGGAACACCAGUGGCGAAGGCGGCUGCCUGGGCCUGGCCUGACGCUGAGGCGCGAAAGCGUGGGGAGCGAACGGG